rnacentral:rRNA from 1 species
UCACGAANAACUCCGAUUGCGAAGGCAGCUUGCUGGACUGUAACUGACGCUGAGGCACGAAAGCGUGGGGAUCAAACNGGAUUAGAUANNNGGUAGNCCACGCCGUAAACGAUGAAUGCUAGCUGUUAGCGAUAUACUGUUAGCGGCACAGAGAAAUCGUUAAGCAUUCCACCUGGGGAGUACGCCGGCAACGGUGAAACUCAAAGGAAUUGACGGGGGCCCGCACAAGCGGAGGAACAUGUGGUUUAAUUCGAUGAUACGCGAGGAACCUUACCUGGGCUUAAAUUGCAGUGGAAUAACGUGGAAACAUGUUAGCCUUCGGGCCGCUGUGAAGGUGCUGCAUGGUUGUCGUCAGCUCGUGCCGUGAGGUGUCGGCUUAAGUGCCAUAACGAGCGCAACCCUCAUCGAUAGUUACUAACAGGUUAAGCUGAGGACCCUAUCGAGACUGCCGACGUAAGUCGUGAGGAAGGUGGGGAUGACGUCAAAUCAGCACGGCCCUUACGUCCAGGGCUACACACGUGUUACAAUGGGGGGUACAAAGGGCAGCUACCUGGCGACAGGAUGCUAAUCUCAAAAACCUCUCUCAGUUCGGAUUGGAGUCUGCAACCCGACUCCAUGAAGCUGGAUUCGCUAGUAAUCGCGCAUCAGCCACGGCGCGGUGAAUACGUUCCCGGGCCUUGUACACACCGCCCGUCAAGCCAUGGGAGCCGGGGGGACCUGAAGUAUGCAACCGUAAGGAGCGUCCCAGGGUAAAACUGGUGACUGGGGCU